rnacentral:tmRNA from 1 species
AACGCCAAGCCUCAGCUGGCAAUGGCUGCCUGAGUCAGGUAGCUCGUUCGUCCGGCCCCGGUCCUACGGGUCGGUAGCGAACGUCAUGAAGUAGGACUUACCCGAAGGGCACUGCCGACCGGCCCGCGGGGACAUCGAAGGUCGGCUGGGGACCGACGCAGGUGCCGGCAGCGGCGACGGUCCCGAGACCAAGCAGCCGGCUGCGCUCGGAGAAGGCCUGUUGAGAAGCUGAAGGACGCGGGUUCGAUUCCCGCCACCUCCACCC